AUGGGAUUCAAGGACUUCAGACUCUUCAACCAAGCAAUGUUAGCUCGGCAAGCAUGGCGUAUUUUGGUCAACCCAGAAUGUCUUUGUACGCGCGUUUUGAAGGCAAGGUAUUUCCCUAAUGGACGAUUAGAAGAUACUGUUUUCACUAGCAAUGCGGCGCAAACUUGGCAGGCCAUUGUGCAUGGGUUGGAAUUGCUGAGGAAAGGCUUAGUCUGGCGCAUCGGUAACGGGCAGUCGGUCCGAAUUUGGCGGGACUCCUGGAUACCACACCCUGUUGGUCGGCCACCAAUUACCCAACAGGGAAGGUGCCGUCUCCGCCGAGUCUCAGAGCUCCUAGACGAGUAUGGUGCAUGGCGCGGAACCCUACUUCAACAAUACUUUUUGCCCGUUGAUGUUCAGGAGAUACUAAAGAUUAAAGCGUCCCCUCGGCUGGGGGCAGAUUUCCUUGCAUGGGGUGCAGAAUGUACUGGUAUCUUCACCGUACGUAGCGCGUACCGGCUGGCGCUUGAGGACAAGCUUCGUCCCUCUUCAGUCGCAGCGAGCAGGGCACCGGACGGGCGACGUGCCGUCUGGGCAUUAUUAUGGAGGUGCCCUGCUCCUCCUAAGGUGCGUGUGUUUGCAUGGCGUUUGGCUACUAAUUCCCUUGCCACAUGGUCUAAUAAAUUCAGUCGACACAUGGAGGUUACUGAUAUAUGCCCAUUAUGUGGUCUCGAGCGCGAGGACACUUUUCAUGUGUUUUGCAGGUGCCCUCGGGCGGUGCAUUUGUGGCGGACUAUGGCGGAGGUGUGGAGUAUACCGGACAUCGAGUCAGUCCGUAACACCGGCCCGGAGUGGCUCCUGAACCUAAUUGCAGAAAGCAAUGAAGGGGACCGGCUGCGCCUGAUUAUGCUGCUGUGGAGAUGUUGGCAUGUGCGCAACGAGAUCACUCAUGACAAACCGGCGCCGCCUGUGGAGGUAUCUCAUCGCUUUUUGCAGAGCUACGUAACCUCACUGCUCGGGAUCCAGCAGUAUCCGCAGGGAGAUUGGGACAAAGGGAAGAUGACCAUCCAACAAGAAGGUGCAGAAUAGCCUAUAUCGCAUGUGGGAGGUGUGCCACGAACAGCCCACAAAUGGAGUCCCCCACCCGCCAACUGGACGAAGCUGAAUGUCGACGGCUCCUUUUCCCAUGAUGACGGGAGGGCCGGGACGGGAAUGGUGCUCCGUGACCAGGAAGGGGCCAUUAUUUUCUCCGCGUGUCGCUCGCUAUGGUCUUGCCCGGACCCUCUACAUGUCGAGCUAGCUGGGUGCAUGGAGGGCAUAGCUUUGGCCCUCCAAUGGACGGAGCUGCCGUUUAUCGUCGAGUGCGAUAGUCUGCAGGCAGUGCAACUGAUCAAUGCCUCAGGACAAGACCGGUCGCAGUACGCCAUGGCGGUCUCGGAAGUGAAGCAUCUUAUGAGUGAAAGGGAGUGUCAUGUUAUUCAUAUUUCUCGAGAGCAGAAUAAUGUAAGCCAUACGUUGGUGAACUUUGGAAGGACGGAAGACCGUACUGUGGUCAGGCUCCGCUCCGGCCCGGACAAUAUCCCUAGCUUGUGUAGGGAGGACCUUCUUGGCUCUUGA
rnacentral:rRNA from 1 species